rnacentral:rRNA from 1 species
UUGCUUUCCUGCCGGCGAGUGGCGAACGGGUGAGUAAUACAUCGGAACGUGCCCUGUAGUGGGGGAUAACUAGUCGAAAGAUUAGCUAAUACCGCAUACGACCUGAGGGUGAAAGUGGGGGACCGCAAGGCCUCAUGCUAUAGGAGCGGCCGAUGUCUGAUUAGCUAGUUGGUGGGGUAAAGGCCUACCAAGGCGACGAUCAGUAGCUGGUCUGAGAGGACGAUCAGCCACACUGGGACUGAGACACGGCCCAGACUCCUACGGGAAGCAGCAGUGGGGAAUUUUGGACAAUGGGGGCAACCCUGAUCCAGCAAUGCCGCGUGUGUGAAGAAGGCCUUCGGGUUGUAAAGCACUUUUGUCCGGAAAGAAAUCGCACUGGUUAAUACCUGGUGUGGAUGACGGUACCGGAAGAAUAAGGACCGGCUAACUACGUGCCAGCAGCCGCGGUAAUACGUAGGGUCCAAGCGUUAAUCGGAAUUACUGGGCGUAAAGCGUGCGCAGGCGGUUGUGCAAGACCGAUGUGAAAUCCCCGGGCUUAACCUGGGAAUUGCAUUGGUGACUGCACGGCUAGAGUGUGUCAGAGGGGGGUAGAAUUCCACGUGUAGCAGUGAAAUGCGUAGAGAUGUGGAGGAAUACCGAUGGCGAAGGCAGCCCCCUGGGAUAACACUGACGCUCAUGCACGAAAGCGUGGGGAGCAAACAGGAUUAGAUACCCUGGUAGUCCACGCCCUAAACGAUGUCAACUAGUUGUUGGGGAUUCAUUUCCUUAGUAACGUAGCUAACGCGUGAAGUUGACCGCCUGGGGAGUACGGUCGCAAGAUUAAAACUCAAAGGAAUUGACGGGGACCCGCACAAGCGGUGGAUGAUGUGGAUUAAUUCGAUGCAACGCGAAAAACCUUAC